GACAGAGGUGCCGAGCGUUAGGCGGAAUCACUGGGCUUAAAGCGUGUGUAGGCGGACCGUUAAGUGCCUUGUGAAAUCCCACGGCUCAACCGUGGAACGGCUGGGCAGACUGGCGGUCUUGAGCCACCUAAGGGCGGACGGAACAAGCGGUGGAGCGGUGAAAUGCGUAGAUAUCGUAAGGAAGACCAGUGGCGAAGGCGGGUCUCUGGACAGUUCCUGACGCUGAGGCACGAAGGUCAGGGGAGCAAACGGG
rnacentral:rRNA from 1 species